rnacentral:tRNA from 1 species
GGUUAUAGCUCAGUGGUAGAGCACUUGCCUAGCACGUGUGAGGUACUGGGUUCGAUCCUCAGCACCA